AACGCUGGCGGCGUGCCUCAGACAUGCAAGUCGAACGAUUAAACUUCCCUUCGGGGAAGAUAUAAAGUGGCACACGGGUGAGUAACACGUAAGUAAUCUUCCUUCGAGUGGGGAAUAACAUCGGGAAACCGAUGCUAAUACCGCAUAAUUCAGCGGCACCUAAUGGUGACAGUUGUUAAAGGAGCAAUUCGCUUGAAGAUGAGCUUGCGGCAGAUUAGCUAGUUGGUAAGGUAACGGCUUACCAAGGCUUCGAUCUGUAACCGGUCUAAGAGGACGGUCGGUCACACUGACACUGAAUAUCGGGUCAGACUCCUACGGGAGGCAGCAGUCGGGAAUUUUGGGCAAUGGGUGAAAGCCUGACCCAGCAACGCCGCGUGAAGGAUGAAGUAUUUCGGUAUGUAAACUUCGAAAGAAUGGGAAGAAUCAAUGACGGUACCAUUUAUAAGGUCUGGCUAACUACGUGCCAGCAGCCGCGGUAAUAAGGU
rnacentral:rRNA from 1 species